CUGGCUCAGGAUGAACGCUAGCUACAGGCUAACACAUGCAAGUCGAGGGGCAUCAGGGAGAAAGCUUGCUUCUUUGCUGGCGACCGGCGCACGGGUGAGUAACGCGUAUCCAACCUUCCCCCCAGUAGGGCAUAGCCCGGCGAAAGUCGGAUUAAUACCCUAUGUUGUGUCAUGAGGACAUCUGAAUAACACCAAAGAUUUAUCGCUGGGGGGAUGGGGAUGCGUCCGAUUAGGUUGUUGGCGGGGUAACGGCCCACCAAGCCCGCGAUCGGUAGGGGUUCUGAGAGGAAGGUCCCCCACACUGGUACUGAGACACGGACCAGACUCCUACGGGAGGCAGCAGUGAGGAAUAUUGGUCAAUGGACGAGAGUCUGAACCAGCCAAGUAGCGUGCAGGACGACGGCCCUAUGGGUUGUAAACUGCUUUUAUGCGGGGAUAAAGUGAGGUAUGUAUACCUUUUUGUAGGUACCGCAUGAAUAAGGACCGGCUAAUUCCGUGCCAGCCGCUGC
rnacentral:rRNA from 1 species